AACCCACUAUGCAAUUCCCUUCAAAACGCACCAUCCUUUCAUCUCUACAGCGCCAAAUAUACUACAUGGGCACUUUCAAAAACGAAGAUUGAUGUAAUUCUGAAGUUGCACCUUAACAAUUGAACCCUACAUCAAUGGAACAGCCACUGCCCUCGCUUUUGAUUUGUUUUGUUUCACAAGACCAGAAUAUCUUGAAACUUUUUCAGCAAUUUAUUUGUGUAUAGAGGUGAGGGUUGAUCAUAUGGCUAUUGCUUUGUUAAGGACUUAAAAAUCACCAAUUGUUGACACUGUACAAUUUCUUCCACAACAUCGACAUGUAUUAUUUUCCUCAUCAAUAUAUAUCACAGUUAAUACUCUCGCUUAGUGGAGUCUGGAGAGUGAAUCGCAUGAAGAAAAGUCAAGGUGAGAGAUUUAGCAUCUUGGACUGUAAUCGAUUUUGGAACCGGCAAUGGCCUCCUUCAAGAGCUUGCUAAGCAGGGGUUGGUUUGUUGAAUGUGGAUUGAUACUACAACUCAUUACUGAUGUUCAUCGAUAAAGCAGUCAGUGGAAUAAACGUUCAUCAGUCUAAAUGCUCGCCACAUCAUCAUGUUGGCAUCAACUACCAAGGUUUCGGUUAGAAAAUCGGAGGAUUAUGUACCUUGCCAUGAAAGAUAGCUUCAGAGUUAGAGUUGAGAGUUGAGCUGGAAAUGAAGCAACAAACGAAGGAAUUUGUGGAAGUGAAAAAGGUGCUAACUUUGAAAGGGGUCUUUGCUUAAUUAUGUGUAUGAUAUAUUGAGGAGAAAAAUAUCUAGCAUGGAGAAGGAUCUCCAAGAUUUGAAGUGCACUAUUGAUGUACUGCGACAAGCGAAUAAUCUUAUGCAAUCCAAGUUAUGGAAAGCUCCUGCAAUUGUUGGCAUUAAAAAAAGUCCAACCACUAAAAAGGAAGCAUCAACAUCUACAGCUAAUCUUGUGAAAAUACAAGAUGUAAUGGAAAUUAUCAAAAAGGAUAUCAUUUAUACUGUUUAAUGGCCAGCCAAAACAGUCUGGCAUGUAACAGUGAUAUAGAGACAAAGGCAUAGCUUUGUUGGGGUGCCCCGGCUCUCGCCGAUUUUUUUGCUCAUAGGCGUGCGUCUCGGUUGCUCUUUUUAAAGUGAGCCUUGUGCGCUUUUGACUACUAUGUAUCACAUAGUGAUUCUUUAUGGUAGUUAUGCUGAUGAUUAGACUUGUAGAUGAGAUGAAGUGCCUGAGGAAAAAAGUUGUCUUAAAUUGGAGAAUUGUGAAGAAAAAAUCAAUGUGGUUACACGAGCAUCAAAUGAGCUUAUUCUCUUCUAUGAUGAGGUUUGUUAUGCAUAUGGAUAUUGCACUUAUAUGAAAGAAAUGAAAUUGGUGGGUGGUGUUUUUAGUUGACUCAUUUUCAAGUCUAGAAUUUCAAGUAUCAAGAGUACCCCAAGGUUCAAAACUUAGGGGUGUGAACUUAUGACACGACACAAAAAUCCGACGCGAACCAAACACGAAAUUCGUGGGUUUCGGUUUAGUCUAAACAGGUUCGGAUGGGUUUAACGUUGAACCCGCGAACCAGUUUAACUAAACGGUUGGGUUCGUGUCGAACUCAUCAGGUUGGUGGGUUAACCCGUUUAACUUAUUUAUAUUAUAUUUAAUUUUUUUAAAUGUGUUGUUAGUAGUGAUAUACAUUUGUAUUUUUUGCUGUAUAAUUUUAAAUUAAAAUAUCAUUCAGCAAAAAAAAAUAAUAAAAAUAAAAAAAAUCGGGUAUAACGGGUCGUGUUGGGGUCAACCUGCGAAUAUUCAUGUCGCCUUCGGUUAUAUGUGUCUGGCACGAUUUCGUGUUCGGGUUUGUGUAAAUUGUCAGACAUGGCCCGUUUAACACCUCUAACGAAAGUACCAGUACCGAAAAACGAGGAAAACUGAUACUGGUACCUAAUAUACCGGUACCGAAAAACGAGGAAAAUUGGUACCGGUACCGAAAAACAAGGAAAAUUGGUACCGGUGCCGAAUACCGGUACAAUUUGAUACCAAUAACGAAAAACGAGGAAAGUUGGAUCUGCACUUCCUGUAGUUUCGAUCAUAUAUGAAAUGAUUCCACUUUUUCCUGCCCAUGUCUCCUUCGACUAUUUUAGAUUAGUACUUUGCAAUCAAGUGGGCAUGUUUACUAAGAAAUAUACUGAUACACUUGGUCGAAGGUUUAGCAACAUGUACCGGCUUUUAUCUGCAUGCGUGUUACCGCGUACUCUGGGCUUGGUUUCUAUCAUGUGGGUUUCAUUUUUGGUUAUAUGGGUCGUAUGACCCAAAUUCAAAUAUUUUGAAUAAACACUUGAUGCGGGUGAUAUAACAUAGAGUUACAUGAGUAACCCGUAUAACAGUGCGGGUGUGAUAUGAACCUGAUGACUUUAAUAGUACGGGUCGCAUGAAAUUUUUACUAAAAUAAUAAAAGUUAAACUUUGAAAAUGUCCUGCUCCUGCAACUAUCUUAUAUGACCAUGAGUGAUUAAUACUCGCACGUAUCUACAACUCAAAAUCCAAACCCUGCCACCAGAAGGCACACACUAGCUAAACACUUGAUUACACUUUUGCAUCUCCUAUUCUAUUUUUAUUUCUGACCAUUUUCAUUUCUUGUAAAAGAGACCCAUUAUCACAAUCUUCAUGUUGAUGUUAAAUUGGGAAGACAAAUUGGACUCUAGAAACUGAUAUCUUAUCUACUGUUGUAAUGAUGAUGCUGAGAUUUAGAAGACUGUUGAUCAAGAAAUCUUUGAAUUAUUAAAUAAAAACAAUUGUAUGAAAGUACAAUUGAAAGAAAUGCAAGAAAGAUAUUUAGCAACAAGCCCAAAGUUGGCAGAGGUGGAUGGUGAAAGACAACAACUUAUAAUGACCUUAUAAUAUACAUCAUGGGAAAUAUGUAAGUUCGGUCUUUCUUCUUUUUAUUCUCUAUCUUACUUAAUUUUUUUGUUGGGUUUCUAGAGAAUAUUACAUGAAUACGUGUACCGUAAAGAUUUGCAUGCUAAGUUUCUCAGUAAUUAUAAUCUUUUUUUUUUAUU